rnacentral:rRNA from 1 species
UACGGAGGAUGCGAGCGUUAUCCGGAUUUAUUGGGUUUAAAGGGUGCGCAGGCGGAGGUGCAAGUCAGUGGUCAAAUUGCGGGGCUCAACCCCGUACUGCCGUUGAAACUGGAAGACUUGAGUGUGUUUGAGGUAGGCGGAAUGCGUGGUGUAGCGGUGAAAUGCAUAGAUAUCACGCAGAACUCCGAUUGCGAAGGCAGCAUACCGGCGCCCAACUGACGCUGAAGCACGAAAGCGUGGGUAUCGAACAGG